rnacentral:rRNA from 1 species
UAGUCAUAUGCUUGUCUCAAAGAUUAAGCCAUGCAUGUGUAAGUAUAAGUAUUAUACGGCGAAACUGCGAAUGGCUCAUUAAAUCAGUUAUAAUUUAUUUGAUAAUCGAAAGUUACAUGGAUAACCGUGACAAAUUACAGCUAAUACAUGCAGUCAGACCUGUCAAAGGGUCGUAAUUAUUAGUACUAACCAAUCCCGAAAGGGAUGUGAUGAUUCAUAGUAAUCGAACGAAUCGCAUUUAUAUGUGAUAAGUCAUUCAAGUUUCUGCCCUAUCAGCUUUGGAUGGUAGUGUAUUGGACUACCAUGGCAGUCACGGGUAACGGAGAAUUAGGGUUCGAUUCCGGAGAGGGAGCCUGAGAAACGGCUACCACAUCUACGGAAGGCAGCAGGCGCGAAAAUUGCCCAAUCCUGACACGGGGAGGCAGUGACAAGAAAUAACAACUCUAGGUUUUCUUAGAAGUGUAAUGAGGAUAAUUUACAAAUCUUACCGAAUGCAAUUGGAGGGCAAGUCUGGUGCCAGCAGCCGCGGUAAUUCCAGCUCCAAUAGCGUAUAUUAAAGUUGUUGCAGUUAAAAAGCUCGUAGUUGAAAUUCUGGGCGUCCGGGUCUCCAGUCUUUAGGCGGGGAUGCCGGCGUUCAUCCGCUUGCAAGCAUACGUUCGCCCUUAACCAGGCGGCUAUGUGAGUAAGCAUUUUACCUUGAGAAAAACAGAGUGUUCCAGGCAGGUUUGUCCGGGAUGCAUUAGCAUGGAAUAAUAGAACAUGACUGAAGUCAAGUUAUUGGUUGUAGACUUUAGUAAUGAUUAAUAGGAACAGUCGGGGGCAUUCGUACUCAGCAGUCAGAGGUGAAAUUCUAAGAUUUGCUGAAGACGAACUAAUGCGAAAGCAUUUGCCAAGGAUGUUUUCAUUAAUCAAGAACGAAAGUUAGGGGAUCAAAGACGAUCAGAUACCGUCCUAGUCUUAACUAUAAACGAUACCGACUCGGAUUCAGAUGAAUCAAAAUGUUCAUUUGGGACCGUAGGAGAAAUCAAAGUCUUUGGGUUCUGGGGGGAGUAUGGUCGCAAGGCUGAAACUUAAAGGAAUUGACGGUUUUGCACCACCAUGGAGUGGAGUUUGCGGCUUAAUUUGACUCAACACUGGGAAACUCAUCAGGGCAAGAAGAUUUUAGGAUUGACAGAUUGAGAGUUCUUUCUUGAUUGGUCUAGUGGUGGUGCAUGGCCGUUCUUAGUUGGUGGAGUGAUUUGUCUGGUUAAUUCCGUUAACGAACGAGACCUUAACCUACUAACUAGUGACGAGAUCUCAAAUCUCGAGCACUUCUUAGAGGGACUAUGCGUGGUAAUCGCAUGGAAGUUUGAGGCAAUAACAGGUCUGUGAUGCCCUUAGAUGUCCUGAGCUGCACGCGUACUACAAUGGCACUUUCAGCGAGUUUUUCCUGAUCCGAAAGGAUUUGGGUAAUCUGUUUAGGGAGUGCCGUGCUUGGGAUAGAUCUUUGUAAUUGUGGAUCUUGAACUAGGAAUUCCUAGUAAGCACGAUUCAUCAAAUCGUGCUGAUUACGUCCCUGCAAAAUGUACACACCGCCCGUCGCUUUUACCGAUGAGUGUUCAGGUGAGUCUUCUUGAUAGCUUCGCAGCUAAAAAUUAAACAAAUCUUAGCACUUAGAGGAAAAAGAAGUCGUAACAAGGUUUCCGUAG